ACUUAACAUACCUCAUCCAACCUCUGCUAUACCAAAUCAGUUUGGCUUAUAAAACCUUGAUUGUAUAUCAAACUGUUCUCUACUGGUUUCUUUAUCACCUUCAACAAUAGUGGGAACAACAGACUCAUGGUCACUGAUAGCAAAUGAUUCAUGAGAAGGACAAUAGGGAGUAGAUUCUGAAGAUUGAACGGGUAUAUCAAGGUGGCUGAGGGACCCAGGAGUUGUGGGGCGUCAAAGAUAAUCGGCAUGGAAUUUAGUAGUUUAUAACAGUGCCUGAAGGAGCUAGGAUUUAUGAAUCAUUCUCCACCACCUUGAGGUUUGGUUGACAUGAACAAACCUCCUGAAAUGAUAUCUGGCAAUAUGAAGGUAGGUAGGUGGAUUACUAGGGAUUGUCUCAAAGUGCCUAUUUGACGGGUCACAUCAAACUGUCGUUGAUGCUUAU